UCCAGAAGUGGACAGGGACUUCAGAGGGAGUCAGUACUCCAAGUAGCUAUAGGCCAAGGGCUGGGACAACCUUGGGGACUUCAUGUGACUUUGGACAUCACCUAACCUUGAACUUCGGGAUCCCUAAUCACCUUUCCCUAGUGAGGUAAUCAUGGGUUUCUCUUCUGUCCUCUCACUAGGUCGUGAUAAGAAUUAUCAGAGAUAAAGAAAGGUUGCUGAACACACAUAGUAUGCUGACAACUGGCCACAUGUCAUCUUCACAGCAUUGCAAAGAAGGGGCCAUUUUUCUUGCAGUUAUGGAGCCCUCUGGUGAAAAGGCAGAAGCCCCUUGCCCUGAGCCUAGGGAAGGCUGAGGGCUAGAAAGAAAAAGACCUUCUUCCCAUGAUCCUCUUCUGGAGAGACAAAGACACACCCAUGAGGACUCUGGAAGGUGACAGCCAAGCUGUGCAGAAACAAAGGCUGCUUUUCCUCUUCAUCACUGCUAGGCUGAAUGUUGGAGCCUGGAGCAGCUGAGUUUGGGCGUCUGUGGUCAAGUCCUUGUCUGAUUCAUCUCUGUGUGCCUGCAGGAACUGCCCAGAGGAUGGGCCAGGUGAAGGAGUCACCUUAGAAGAUAAGGCCUCCCUUGAUGAGGUUUAAAUCAAACCGACUCUGGCCUGAAAAAAAUGCCACCUGCCCCACUGCCUGCUGACCUUGGAAUGGCUUCCUUCUAGAGAUUCGGAUUGCAAAAUCCAGAAUUUAUGCAAUUGAGUUCAACCUUUUUCCUUGGACUAGGGAGAGGACUUUUGCCCCCCUGGCCUAGGUACCUGCUUGCUUUAUCUACUGGUCCUUCCAAGGAGGGCUUUCUCAGAGUGUAUGCCCAGGGUAGACCCUGUCUUCUAAAUUGAAUGAAAUGUAUCCACUCCCAGAAGGUGUGUCUACUUAAUCCAAGCAGAACUAUGCUGGAGUAUGGUCAGAAAAUCUGUCAGCUCACAGACACAGACAGACAGACAGACAGACGGUGGGGGGCACACGUAUGUGGGAGCAGCAAGCUUCCUUAGUCUUAUUUUGAAAUAAAAACAUGCCGUUCCUUCUCAUAAUUAAUGUA